rnacentral:tRNA from 1 species
GGUGGCUCAAUGGUAGAGUGCUUGCCUAGCAUGCGUGAGGCACUGGGUUCAAUACCCAGCACCA